ensembl:lncRNA
AUGUUCACUGUGAGGAUCUUCUGAGUGAAGCCAACAGAAGGAAAACCUCAUCUGGAUGUGAAGAAGGAGACUGAAUGGACGACAUCCUCAGUGAACCACUUCCUGUUUAACUUUCACUUACAGAAGAGUGAAAGUAGCAGUUCCUCCUGAAGGUCAGAGAUUGCAGCAACCGAGGGCCUCUUCAAAAGAAGAUGUAGUUGAUGAAGGCGUUCUGGAGCAGGACCAGAAAGACCACGACCAAGCAGCCUUGAGAUCUUAGACAGCGUCUCCCUCAGGUCCCUCUCUAUCUCCCCACACAUCCACCAACCACUGGAACACAUCUCCAAAGUUCUGCUGGACCAGCUCAGCUUCCCCUCAGAAGAAGUGCUGCCACCUGCCAGAUGAAGGAGCCUUUUGAGAGGCAGCUGGCAUCGUGAUUGGACUGUACUUUGGUCUGUUCCAAUCCAGCUUCAGCUCCAGAGACGGCAGGUGGGACGAGUCAACGGAGGCCGGAUGGACAAAGGCAUGAAGCUGAGUACAAUCCAGAAAACAACAGAGGAGGAGUGCAGCAGCCCAGAGCCAGAACAACCAGAGUAGCAUGACCAAAGAACUACAGACUCUUCACAACCUGCUCAAACUCUUGGUACAGGACCUCACCACACGGGUCAAGAAGGUUUCUGUCUCAUUU